ACAGGUCUCAUCCGAAAUAAUCUAAAUAAAAGGAGUUUCUCCAAUGGUAAAGAAAAGGAGCUAGUUCACUUAUUCUUGUCGUAGGUUCACUCAUUCAGUAAGCUACCAUUCACCAUCGGACGUGCAUCGAAGGGCGACAUAGCUCAUGCAUCACAAGGUAAUCGGGCAGUCUUCGGGUUUCAUCUGCCAUUCAUGAAGUUGGCGAUCAACAGCAAUAAAGCAUGGUUAGGUCAACUUAGCCUUCAAGUGUACCGUAGCUCGUUCUUCAAGGAUCAAAACCAAUUCUGUGCUAUCGGGGCGCGGGGUCGAGCAGCAAUAGGUGUUUCGGGGAACUAAUUCUUCAAGGGUGGUUAAGCACAUUCAGUUUACGUUACAUAACCAAUUCUACGAGCUACCAUUCAAUCAGUCAUCGUGGGGGCGAUCAACAAGAACAAAUGUGUCUUCGAAGCCCUUAGCCCGUAACUCAGGUCAACUAAAACCUCCCGUCUAUCCACGUAGAGUUGGACAUCGCAUAAAUAGAAAGUUUGGGAAUUGAGCUCAUCAGUCAAAGGCUGAAAACAAUCCAAACACUACUAACAGCAGGAGAACCAACGUACACAAUAACUCAAUACGGAACAAAUACUGUCGCUACUAACUAGCAGAUCAACUAAUAAGUCAAAGAAUCAAUAUAUAAACCCUAACCCUACCGCCGAAGACCGAAUACAUCACUUUAUUUUCACUGUAGUAAUAAUUGUUAUUAGCCUCACUCCUAUUACUAACAACACUCUUUUACUUAUUGUCUUGUCUCUUUGCCUUAGUAUACGUAGCUUGUCUGGUUAUAACAGGUUCUUCUGGAUGGGAUCUUUUUCUAUGAAUUCGUUCUUUUUCUCCCCUGGAGCUGGUGAAGUAGGUAUUAUUUUUCUCGCAAUGACACCUUUUGAAGGCCCAACACGGUUAAGUAGGUAUUAGUUUGAUUGCAAUGACACCUUUUGAAGGCCCAACACCAUACUAUAUAAGUCCCAUAUUGCUGCGUGGACUGGAAGCAAUAGAAUCCUUGGGCUUGGGAGCAAUCCGGGAAAUUCCAUUCUCCUACAGGAGAGCGGUAGUCCACAACUUGUUAUGAGUGCUUGUGGUCCUUUCUUUACUUGAAAUUCCAAUUCAUUAAUUAUUCGAAUUCGCAUCCUGGGCUUAGCUUAGGGAAAAAGAACUCCCGUGUUUUAGCGCACAGGAUUAUGGCCGAGUUGUUUGUUGCUCGGAAUUCCAUCUAGCUAUGCUAUAAUCAUCUUGAAGUUCAAGCUUUUCAUAUAAGAGGGGAAGUUAACAUAUUCCAUAAUCCAUUCAUAUAAGAGGGGAAGUUAACAUAUUCCAUAAUCCAUUCAAAAAACUCCUGACUGCUUCUGUGGAAUAUAAGUCUAAUCGAAUAUAAUGGAAUAAGAUGACUUAAAUGAAACUAUACUAAUUAUCGCUUGAAGUGAGAACUUGCUGAAAGCUCUGAUCAAUACGUCUUCUUUCUUUUUCCUUCCAAAUCGAUUCUGGGCCCUUACCUCGCUCUUUCUUGUGUAUAGAAGUCUAUUCAUCAUUUCGAAAUUCAUUAUUUCUUUCAGCCUUUCAAAGAGGACUGACACCUAUCCCGGAAUGGACUGGGAGCUCUCGCCUAACCAGGAGCCAGGAUGUUUUCUACUACCAUUUUCUAUUGGCUAGAGAAAAGAAUCGAAAGAGUUCCUCGGCUAGCCAGCUCCAAUCUAGAACUGGAAGGUCCCCUUUCCCACUUGGUCUGCCUCUUAGCAUUCCCCGGCCCAGACCACAAAGAAGGAAAGAGCGCGUAGCCCCGGCGGAUCGAUCAGGCUGAAAGAUAUCGACAUGAUUCGAGAGUUCCCCCUGAUGUUGUUCUCAAUCCCAGUGCUAGAUAAAGAGGGAGGUCUACCUACUUGGCCCCGGGGACGGAAUGCGGUAGGGUGAAAAAACGAACCCCCACGCUCGAUUCUAGAGACAUGCCCACAACAGACUGGCCCAAUUUACCUGCAGGUCUGCCUUUAGUAUAGUACAGGGCUCAAUAAAGACAUAAAUAGCAAAGAAUCUCUAUCUUUAGUAGUUUGAAGGGUUCCGCUCAAUCAGUGAGUAUUAGGAAUAGGGCCCUUUGCUUUGAUUAAGGCUCAAAUGCAUUUCAACUGCCUUACAGUAUCCUAAAUUAGAUCCGUGUUUUUACAUAAGCUCGCUCUCUGUUUCACAUGGGUUAAACUAAGCAAAAGGGGUUUUUCAACAGUGUUCUUUCUAGGUAUAGGUAUGGCCUAGAGUGUCUGCAUUCCUUUUUCCAGGUCUAGCCUUUGUCUUCCAUACACUCUUAAAGCUGCCCUGGCACCACUGGAAUCGGGCAAAGGAAGGUAUCGAUGCUUUCAACGAUUAGAUCGGGCUCUCCUAUAGCCCAGCCAAUUGCGCUAGCCCCGAGGUCGAAGAAGCGUGAUUGCAUUCCUAUUCCCACAGACUAAACAAAAGGAUGGAGAGCCUUUCCUGUAAUAGGUCCUAGCCUAGGGACCAAUAUUCUGAUUGGUUUAGGUAGGGCGACCGGCCUAAGCAGAAAUCCUAUACUCGGAGAUGGUCCUCUCGAAGGAAUUGGGACCGAGCAAGCCAAGCCAGUCGGAAGCAAAGGAGCUAAAGCCCAAAAGUCACUGUCUCUAGGAUCUGCCCUCCGUUGGGAUAGUCCACACUGGAUAACUCGUCGAUCGGGCUCUCAUAUUGCGAUCGGAAGAGAAGAUAGGAUCAGUACAUUCUUUCCCGGGUCGAUUUAGUAGACUAGACAGCUUUCUUAACCAAACAAAGUGGGGAAUCGCUGAGAGAAGCGAGUAGGAUAAUGCUGACGGAGGAACUUCAUCAAUCUCUCUUCACAAUGAGUUUUCUCAGUUCCAUUCGAUUCACCUUAAAUAACCCAGAAAGAGAAUCAAGUCCAUAUUAGAUAAGACCAAGAAAGAAAGAGAAUCAAGUCCAUAUUUGUAGAUAAGACCCAGAGAAGUAGAAUGGAGUUCUGAUUAGAUAAGUUAUCCAAUAUGUAUACGUGGUCUCAUAGCAAAAAUAGAACGAACCACUCCCCUUUCUCAUCACAAGCGAGCUGUCAAGGGACAAAAAAAGGUGCAGGACUUGCAGGCAAAGGCGGGAUCCCUAUUGGUAUGAGUUCGGCCCAAAGAGAAUGGCGCCCAGCUUCUUGUUUGAGGUAAGAUUUGAGUAGGAAUAGUAACAGUGUCUGAGAGCCCAACAUGAGGAGAUACUUUAGUUUAGUGAUUUGGAGAGUUGUGGUCCAGACUUAUAUACGCGGUAACACUUCGGAUACAGCCUUUACAGUAUAUUUAGGUUCUCCGUUCUUAUAGCUUUAGUCUAGGUUCUCGGUGCUUGUGUAACGCGAUUGAAUAACAGGACGUCGAAGCUAUAGCGAUCAAGUUCCAAAGAAAGCGCAAUCUAUUGCUACUAGGUGGAAUCAUACUUAACUUUUAUGAUAGAUUCAAGCGAAGGGAAGGGCAUUAACUUCAAUUUAAGAGGAGGGCAAAGUUCCUAUCCCGCAACGGAAUAUCUCUUACUUAUCUGUCUUAUGGGAGGUCCAAAAUCAAAGGUGGCUGGCUUACUUAUUUAAGUCAUAGUUUGUUUUCAGCGGUGGCCCAGGUUUCCCAUCAACAAAAGAUAGGGG
rnacentral:lncRNA from 1 species